GCAGUGAAAAUCCGAGGCUCAACCGUCGGACUUGCUGUGGUACGGGCAGACUAGAGUAUGGUAGGGGGAAGACCGGGAAAUUCCUGGUGUAGCGGUGGAAUGCGCAGAUAUCAGGAGGAACACCGAUGGCGAAGGCAGGUCUCUGGGCCAUAACUGACGCUGAGAAGCGAAAGCAUGGGGAGCGAACAGGAUUAGAUACCCUGGUAGUCCAUGCCGUAAACGUUGGGCGCUAGGUGUGGGGCUCAUUCCACGAGCUCCGUGCCGCAGCUAACGCAUUAAGCGCCCCGCCUGGGGAGUACGGCCGCAAGGCUAAAACUCAAAGGAAUUGACGGGGGCCCGCACAAGCGGCGGAGCAUGCGGAUUAAUUCGAUGCAACGCGAAGAACCUUACCAAGGCUUGACAUAUACCGGAAACAUCCAGAGAUGGGUGCCCCGCAAGGUCGGUAUACAGGUGGG
rnacentral:rRNA from 1 species